AUGACGCUGACCUCCGUCCUCAUCUGGACUCUGCUCUGCUGCUGCUUCACAGAGUCCAGAGGCCAGGUCACAGUGACUCAGCCUGGAGCAGUGAGCUCUGCUCUGGGAGGCUCCGUCGCCAUCAGAUGUAGGACCAGUCAGGAUGUUUAUGUCUAUAGCAACAACCCCCGUUUAGCCUGGUACCAACAGAGAGAUGGAGAAACUAUUAAACUACUUAUUUACUUUGCUACCACUCGAGCAUCAGGGAUUCCAGGUCGUUUUACAGGCAGUGGAUCAAACUCUGACUUCACUCUGACCAUCAGUGGAGUCCAGGCUGAAGAUGCAGGAGUUUACUACUGUCUGAGUUAUCACUAUCUCAACAGUAAGAAUCUGUUCACACAGAGAAGAAGUGUCGUUCAAUCUCACAUGAUUAACCGCUUUUCCAAGGGUUGUCUCAGUGCUGUGGUACGUGAAGGAGCUGGAGUUAACUUCAUGUAA